rnacentral:rRNA from 1 species
ACGAACGCUGGCGGCGUGCUUAACACAUGCAAGUCGAACGGUGACCCAGGGCUUGCCCUGGUGAUCAGUGGCGAACGGGUGAGUAACACGUGGGCAACCUGCCCCUGACUUCGGGAUAACUCCUCGAAAGAGGAGCUAAUACCGGAUACGACCACUUCGGACAUCCGAUGGUGGUGGAAAGUUUUUCGGUCAGGGAUGGGCCCGCGGCCUAUCAGCUAGUUGGUGGGGUAAUGGCCUACCAAGGCGACGACGGGUAGCCGGCCUGAGAGGGCGACCGGCCACACUGGGACUGAGACACGGCCCAGACUCCUACGGGAGGCAGCAGUGGGGAAUAUUGCGCAAUGGGCGAAAGCCUGACGCAGCGACGCCGCGUGAGGGAUGAAGGCCUUCGGGUUGUAAACCUCUUUCAGCAGGGACGAAGCGAAAGUGACGGUACCUGCAGAAGAAGCACCGGCUAACUACGUG